GGAGACGUGGCCGAGUGGUCGAAGGCGCUCGCCUGCUAAGUGAGUAUAGGGGUAACUCUAUCGAGGGUUCGAAUCCCUUCGUCUCCGCCA
rnacentral:tRNA from 1 species